AUUGAACGCUGGCGGCAUGCUUUACACAUGCAAGUCGAACGGUAACAGGCCGCAAGGUGCUGACGAGUGGCGAACGGGUGAGUAAUGCAUCGGAACGUGCCCAGUCGUGGGGGAUAACUACUCGAAAGAGUAGCUAAUACCGCAUACGAUCUAUGGAUGAAAGCGGGGGACCGUAAGGCCUCGCGCGAUUGGAGCGGCCGAUGUCAGAUUAGGUAGUUGGUGGGGUAAAGGCUCACCAAGCCAACGAUCUGUAGCUGGUCUGAGAGGACGACCAGCCACACUGGGACUGAGACACGGCCCAGACUCCUACGGGAGGCAGCAGUGGGGAAUUUUGGACAAUGGGCGCAAGCCUGAUCCAGCGAUGCCGCGUGCAGGAAGAAGGCCUUCGGGUUGUAAACUGCUUUUGUACGGAACGAAACGGCUCUGGUUAAUACCCGGGGCUAAUGACGGUACCGUAAGAAUAAGCACCGGCUAACUACGUG
rnacentral:rRNA from 1 species